rfam:Gossypium raimondii Chr05_contig_1042, whole genome shotgun sequence.
GCGGGUGUAGCCAAGUGGAUAAAGGCAGUGGAUUGUGAAUCCACCGUGCGCAUGUUCAAUUCCCAUCGUUCGCC